rnacentral:misc_RNA from 1 species
GUUCUGUUGAGGUAACUUCUCGACGUUGCGUUUUUACCUUAUUCUCACUUCCCUGAUUUUGGAUUUCUAUGAUCUAACUUCUUUUGCUCUUUAGUCUGCUUCCGAUUAUGAAUUUACCCAGAUCAGAUCAUUUCAUGGAAUUGUAUUUGCUUAUUAUACACUCUUUGUUUGGAUGCCGCGAAAGAAUUAUGCUUGGAAAGGAAAACUAGGUUUUAACUGCUAAUCUUAUGCUUCUCUUUUUUGCUUAACUGUGGGUUUUAUGUUAUGGGUGAUGACCAAAUAACAUUGAAUACGUUAAUAAUCGGUAGUUUUUUUUUUAUAAUUUUUUUGGUAUUUGCAAUCUUCAAUGGAAUGUGUAUGAAACGGCUUGCAAUGUAAUUUUCCAGAAGUUUGUAUGUAGAGAGAUAUACUACAAGUGGAUUUAAUUUUUUUAAUAGAGAGUUCGUUCAGAUUUAGAGUUAAGCGUUAUUGAAAUCAUGGUUUAGAUAUAAGUUGCUGCUUACCGGACAGUUUAUGGAGCUUGCUUGUUGAAUUUUACUGCUUGCCUAUUUCAAAAGUGCGUUUCCUUUCUUGUCAUUUGCUUCUGAUAAACCUGAUUCUAAUAAUUGAACUUCAAUAAUGAGAUUUUCUGUAGAUUGAAUUAAUUCUCAAAUCUAUGAGCACACCCACGGGCACACCCAUUUACCCACACGGUUUAGAUUGAUGUUCGUUGAGAAGGAUUCAGAUUAUUCAUUUACAAGUAACUUUACCA